rnacentral:rRNA from 1 species
UACGUAGGCAGCAAGCGUUGUUCGGAGUUACUGGGCGUAAAGAGUGUGUAGGCGGUUCUCUAAGUUUGGUGUGAAAUCUCCCGGCUCAACUGGGAGGGUGCGCCGAAAACUGGAGGGCUUGAGUGCGGGAGGGGAGAGCGGAAUUCCUGGUGUAGCGGUGAAAUGCGUAGAUAUCAGGAGGAACACCCGUGGUGUAGACGGCUCUCUGGACCGCCACUGACGCUGAGACACGAAAGCGUGGGUAGCAAACAGG